rnacentral:pre_miRNA from 1 species
AAAAAGACAAAUCUUGAGUUUCCGUAUCCAACUUUAACUAUCCAUCUUAUAUAAAAUUUUUUAUAAUUCGUAUUUUUAUUGUUGUUAGAUGAUAAAAUAUGAUUAAUAUUUUAUGUGUGACUUGUUUUUUUAAUUUUUUUUAUAAUUUUUUUAAAUAAGACGAACGGUCAGGGUUUGU